rnacentral:rRNA from 1 species
CCUGUACUUGGUGUUACUGCGAAGGGGGGACGGAGAAGGCUAUGUUGGCCGGGCGACGGUUGUCCCGGUUUAAGCGUGUAGGCUGGUUUUCCAGGCAAAUCCGGAAAAUCAAGGCUGAGGCGUGAUGACGAGGCACUACGGUGCUGAAGCAACAAAUGCCCUGCUUCCAGGAAAAGCCUCUAAGCAUCAGGUAACAUCAAAUCGUACCCCAAACCGACACAGGUGGUCAGGUAGAGAAUACCAAGGCGCUUGAGAGAACUCGGGUGAAGGAACUAGGCAAAAUGGUGCCGUAACUUCGGGAGAAGGCACGCUGAUAUGUAGGUGAAGUCCCUUGCGGAUGGAGCUGAAAUCAGUCGAAGAUACCAGCUGGCUGCAACUGUUUAUUAAAAACACAGCACUGUGCAAACACGAAAGUGGACGUAUACGGUGUGACGCCUGCCCGGUGCCGGAAGGUUAAUUGAUGGGGUCAGCGCAAGCGAAGCUCUUGAUCGAAGCCCCGGUAAACGGCGGCCGUAACUAUAACGGUCCUAAGGUAGCGAAAUUCCUUGUCGGGUAAGUUCCGACCUGCACGAAUGGCGUAAUGAUGGCCAGGCUGUCUCCACCCGAGACUCAGUGAAAUUGAACUCGCUGUGAAGAUGCAGUGUACCCGCGGCAAGACGGAAAGACCCCGUGAACCUUUACUAUAGCUUGACACUGAACAUUGAGCCUUGAUGUGUAGGAUAGGUGGGAGGCUUUGAAGUGUGGACGCCAGUCUGCAUGGAGCCGGCCUUGAAAUACCACCCUUUAAUGUUUGAUGUUCUAACGUGGACCCGUGAUCCGGGUUGCGGACAGUGUCUGGUGGGUAGUUUGACUGGGGCGGUCUCCUCCUAAAGAGUAACGGAGGAGCACGAAGGUUGGCUAAUCCUGGUCGGACAUCAGGAGGUUAGUGCAAUGGCAUAAGCCAGCUUGACUGCGAGCGUGACGGCGCGAGCAGGUGCGAAAGCAGGUCAUAGUGAUCCGGUGGUUCUGAAUGGAAGGGCCAUCGCUCAACGGAUAAAAGGUACUCCGGGGAUAACAGGCUGAUACCGCCCAAGAGUUCAUAUCGACGGCGGUGUUUGGCACCUCGAUGUCGGCUCAUCACAUCCUGGGGCUGAAGUAGGUCCCAAGGGUAUGGCUGUUCGCCAUUUAAAGUGGUACGCGAGCUGGGUUUAGAACGUCGUGAGACAGUUCGGUCCCUAUCUGCCGUGGGCGCUGGAGAACUGAGGGGGGCUGCUCCUAGUACGAGAGGACCGGAGUGGACGCAUCACUGGUGUUCGGGUUGUCAUGCCAAUGGCACUGCCCGGUAGCUAAAUGCGGAAGAGAUAAGUGCUGAAAGCAUCUAAGCACGAAACUUGCCCCGAGAUGAGUUCUCCCUGACCCUUUAAGGGUCCUGAAGGAACGUUGAAGACGACGACGUUGAUAGGCCGGGUGUGUAAGCGCAGCGAUGCGUUGAGCUAACCGGUACUAAUGAACCGUGAGGCUUAACCUU